AGAUACAGAAACGUCAAAUUCUGCAAGCUACCAAAAAUAUCAGGAACUUCUCCAGAAAAAUCAUUGUUAGACAAAUCCAAAUACUCAAGUGAAGUACAGUUUCCUAAAGUGGAAGGCAAUAAACCAGAGAAACUGUUAAGACUGAGAUCCAAUGUGACCAAGCUCUUAAGCUCCCCAAUUUCAGAACCUAAUUGGCCUGAAAGCCCAGAAGCAGACAAAUUAAGGGUCUCGACGACAUUACCAGAAAGAUCACAAAUGACACCAAACCAGUUAUUAUUACAUGGAGUGGUUUCAGAUGUGUUCUCCUUCCACGUCGAAGCUACUUCAAGUGGGACUUUAUCAAAGUGCUUGAGAAGCGAGAGUAAAGCCAAACCAUCUGAGUUUAAACUAGAGACAGAAUCUAUACGGAAAUAGACAAAGAGAGAGCAAAGCAGAGUAAUUUCGAGUAACCCAAGAUUCCUCAUUUGAGAUUAGAGCUCAAGAGACUGAAAUAUGAAACACUCGUACGUAGUAACCUCACUCAACAACCCUUGAACCCAGAAUGAGAGGCGGAAAAAAAAAAGAGAGAGCUUUUGGAUUUGAAAGGGUAUCUGGAUUUAGUGACAGGAACAGAUUGCAUUAUUUAAGAAACGAUCGAUGAGUUUGGUGAGAGAGAAAAAGAGCGCGCUUUUUGGUUAACUCUUCGUCAGAGAUUGUGAACCUAACUUUACGAAUUGGCGACCUUCAACGCUGUUUCGUG